UAAAUAAUUAUUUUUAUUGUAAUAAAAUUUUAAUUUUAAAUAAAUAAAAAUUUUUUUAAUUAAUAUUUAAAAUAAUUUAUUUAAAUGAAAAUUUAUUAUAGGAAAUUUUAUUUUAUUAUUAAUAAAUAAAAGUGCCAGCAAUUGCGGUUAUACUUUAGAUAAAAAUAAAUUAUUUUAAUUAAAUUGAUUAGUUAUUUUAAAAAUUUUUUAAAUUAAAUUAAAUAAUUUUUUAUGGUGAAAUAUAAAACUAAAUAUUUUGAUUUAAAUUUUGAAUGAUAAUAGAUUAUAUAAAUUUUGUAAUAAAUUAGGAUUAGAUACCCUAUUAUAUUAAUUUAAGUAAAUUUAAAAAUUAAAUAUUAAAUGUUUAAUCAUUAAAGAUAAAAAAUUUGGCGGUAUUUUAUUUUAUUAGAGGAAUUUGUUAAUUAAUUUGAUAAUCCACGAUUAGAAUUACUUAGUUUUAAGAUUUUUAUGUAUUGUUGUUGUAAAAUUAUAUUAUUAGAUAUUUAUUGAGAUAUUUUAUUAAAAUUAUAUUUCAAAUAAUAAUUCAAAUCAAAAUGUAGAUUAAUUAAGAUUUUUAAUGAAUUACAAUUAUUUUUAAAUAAUGAAUAUUAAAUUUUAAAUAUUUAAUGGAAAAUGGAUUUAAAUGUAAAUUUAUGAAAAAUUUAUAAAUUGAAUUUUAUUUAAAAUAUGUACAAAUUGCCCGUCAUUUUCAUUUUAAGUGUGAAAGAAGUCGUAACAAAGUAAAUGUACUGGAAAGUGUAUUUAGUUUUAA
rnacentral:ncRNA from 1 species